GGUUCUGGGAAAUAAGAAAUCAUUAGAAAAAGAUUUCUGCCUUCUAGAAGUACACAGUCUAAUGGUGAGAUAGGCAGUUAUUAAUGGCUCUCCUACUAGGAGCCUGACAUCAUGGUGAGCAUCGAGAAAGGAAUAACCUAAGCUGAAGACACGCCUUUUCAGGAGGCCAAGUUCCACGUUCUGUGCAUGCUUUUGGCGAAAGUCAGGUGCCGAGACAUGAACUUUGGUCUUCUCUGCAAUCCAUCUGGAGCAUUCACUGACAACAUCGACUUUGAAGUUGCACUGACCUGGCCAGCCCUGCCACUUACCAGGUUGGCUCUGUAUGGCUAAGCGUUUUCUCCUAAAAUCCCUUGAAAACUGUGAGAAGACCAUAAGAAGAUCAUAUCUUUAAUUCUAUUUCACAAGUCACACAAUAUUCCAAUCAAAUACAGAUGGUUGAGAAAAGUCAUCCAUCUUCCCUCCCCACCCUCCCACAGCCCCUCAACCACUGCCCUGAAACUUAUAUGCUGUUAUCCGCAGCUCCAUCUGGAGCAUCACAGCUACUGUCAACCCUGACGCUCUUUCUGAAAAAACACCGGAUGGACAUCAGAACUAUUUCUUUAAGGAUGUUACUGAGCCACACAGGAAAACUUGCCUUAUGAUUUUGAAUGCACGGAUCUGAUUUGACUAAACAUGAUAACUAGAGAAUCACCCAAUCUACUCCCAUUUUCAACUCUAAAUCAUCAGAGUGUCUCAAAUCCAAAGCACACACAGACCAGCCUGGCCAACACGGUGAAACUCCACCCCUACUAAAAGUAUAAAAAUUAUCCAGGUGUGGUGGCGGGCGCCUGUAAUCCAAGCUACUUGGGAGUCUGGAGGCAGGAGAAUCCCUUGAACCUGGGAGAUGGAGGUUGCAGUGAGCAGAGAUCACACCACCGCACUCUAGCCUGGGCCACAAAUCAACAACAACAACAACAACAAAAAACAAAGCGCACACAGAGACUGAGGUCCUCUUUGGCAUUGAGAAGAUGGCUAUGCAAGUCCCAACUAGCAAGUGCAAACUUCCCAGCUUCACUUCUGCCAGUGUCCCUUCACCCCUUCUCAACCCCACUGGGAGGCAGGAGGGUGCUUGACAAUAACAGCCUUGGCAUCACUCUGCCAGGGUGUAAUAGGAACUGUUACAAUUCUGAGAUUCUGUAAGUGCUUUGAGAUUUUGGAGUCAGACUGCUUGAACUUGAAUCCUGGCCCUCUCAUCAGAGACUUGACUUAUUUUAGGCUGUGGCUUGCCUUUUCACUUCUUGUGUCCUGUUUAAGAAAUAUCUGCUAUCCCAAGCAUCUGGCAUCUUUCUUGACAUAUGUAGCAGUUGCUUUUUGACAGCUUGCUUCUUCAGUGAAUGAAUAAAUUAAUAAAGAGAAAUGUGAUGUUCAGUGAUCCAUUUUGCAGAUAACACUAACAAAGUUGACCUUAGAAUUGGAGUGCCUGGGUUAGAACCCUGCUGGUACCACCUGCUUACUGCAUGCUUCUGAUGUGAGUUCAGGAGAAGACACUGGCAAGGACAGCAAAGAACAGGAGAACACUCUAGCUUCCCUGAUAGCAUUCAAGGUGCUGUCCAAACUGACUGUGAUGGCACCCUCCAGACAGACAGCGAUGCCACAUGUUCAAGAUGGCAGAAUCACUAUCAGCUUCAAUUCCUGAAUGACUGCAGAGCAAAAUUUCUUACCUGCAACAUACACUCUAUUUUCAGCCUCCCUGGACUGUUACAUAAUGAUACAUAAAAAUAUUUCUUGUGUUGAGGCAUCCCAAAUUUGAUUUAUUUGUCAUCACAGUCUAUCCUAUGAAUAUAUUUCUGAUCCAAAUAAUGCUAGAUUCAUGAGAGUUUAUAGUCCAGAGAUUUUUUUUUUUUUUUUGAGACAGAAUCUGUCUCCCAGGCUGGGGUGCAGUGGCAUAAUCUUAGCUCACUGCAACCUCUGCCUCCCGGGCUCAAGUGAUCCUCCCUCCUUAGCCUCCAUGAGUAGCUGGGACCACAGGUGUGCACCACCACACCCCGCUAAUUAUUUUGUAUUUUUUGCAGAGGGGGGUUUCACCACAUUGCCCAAGCUGGUCUCAAACUCCUAGACUUAAGGGAUCUGCCUGCCUUGGCCUCCCAAAAUGCUGAAAUUACACUUGUUAGCCAUAGUAAUAGUUCCUAGCCAUAGUCCGGAGAUAUUUUAAAAACUUUAGUGUGAGUUAUUUCUCUUUGCUAUAAUUCUCUCAUGCAUUUUGAAAACCUUUUCUGCCAUACAGUGGUUUUUGGGAAGUCCUUUUGGACAGACAUAUCACAGGAUGGAGAAACUAAAAAGAGAGAAUGCAUUAAAGAAAAAAUAGUACUUCGUAUUUCAGAAAUUACAAAAGGGUGUCAUGCCCCACAGCAUGGUGGGCAGUCAUUUGUAACCCACAGAACAUUGAGUUUCUAAAAUUUGAGUGUUUUUAACUUACGAAGGCCAACUUUACUGAUGAAGUGAUUACCCCAAAUAUGUGAAAUCCAUAUUUCAAGUACAAUAGUAGGAAAUUGGAAAUGGGCUCUUGAGUUUCUGCUUUCAAGUGACCCUCAGAAAUUCCUCCAUUCACUGCAGAGGUUCUGUUUCUCCUUGCUUUGUUCUGACUUUACGGCAGAACUAAGCUAAUGAGUUAGUUACUAUGGGUUAUCACUUGGAUUUGAAGAACCAUCAUUUCUAGGCAUUGCUGCUCAGAGUGGGUCUGCCCUCAGGGGAAGCUGUCUAACCAGAGCCUAACCCACUAGGGUUUUAUCAGAACCUAACUGACCUGAGGAAAAGAAAUACUCAACUCCAGCAAGCUCCAGCCUUCCAAAUGGAGGAGGAGAAAACCCAACUCCAGCCCACUUCAGCUAUCUUGUCCCACAUAAAGGGGAAGUGGAAGAAACCUGAGAAGCAGGCAUGAAGUUCACAGUCCAGAGUGUAUUCCACACCAUUUCAUAUUCCAUCGCAUUCCAUUCUACACAAUUCCACAUCUCCCCGGCCACAUCAGCCUGAGAGUAAUAAACAGACCUUGCCAUCGUAUCCCCUUUUGGAGACACAAGCCAGGAAGGAAGCUCUUCAGUGCAGCUGUGAAUAGAGAAAUGCUGGCUGAGGUUUUGGAGACACUGGGUGAUCAUUCCCAGUGAAAUUUUUAGAUCCCUGGGGACAUGAGCUGCUUUGUCUUUUCCAAGGCUGAAAAAGUUUUGGAAGCCCUCCUAAGCAGGUGCCAGACCCUUUUUUGGCCAGAGACAGGAUCUUACGCUGUUGCCCAGGCUGGAGUGCAAUAGUGUCAUCAUGGCUCACUGUAGCCUGGAACUGCUGGGCUCAAGGGAUCCUCCCAGCUCAGCCUCCCAAGUAGCUAGGAGUAAAGUCUGGAGAACACUUUUUCUUUUGAGCUGUUUACAACCUUUAGCAAUUGAGUAGAGUGUACUCUUGUCAAUAGAAUUUGAAGCACAUUUCUCUCUCUGCCUGAUUUCUGUAGAAUUUGUAAACUAUUUGUGAAUAUUCUUAAUUUAUGGCAAUAUGGUUGCUUACAUAAGUUCAAUAAUAAUCUGUUUUCUUUUACAAUGAGACACAGUUGGAGGAACUGGUUAUUUUCCCAGGGCUUUGACUGAAAUGGCCUUGUGAAUGGUUCCAGGAAAGCCAAUUUUGGAGACCCUAUGUGGAUGAUGAUGCUUGCUGUACUUUCUGUGGGUAAUCGGGCCAAGUAUAUGGGACUGAAGCUAAUUUUGCAGGUGAGAAAAUGGAGGUCCAGAGAGAAAAGUGACUCACCCAAGCUGAAAACAGUUGCAGGAAGAAAAGCCAGGACAGAACUGGGCUGUUAGAAACCUUGGAGUACACUAAAGAUGAGGAACUGAGUCACCGCAAUGCCAAAUGUAACACGCUGUGGGUCAAAAUUUGGAUGGUUGCGUUGGAAAUUAUUCUGAAGCCACAGACAGGGCUAAAAGAGUCUAGAAUGUCCUACUAGCUGUUGGAACCUGCUGGAGUUCUAAAGGCAUGCGAUGUCCUGAAUGUGCUUGACCAAUGGACACAGCAGGUAUUUGAAGAGUUUUGAUGCUUCCUUUCUGUUUUCAGUGCUAUUUUUUUGCUUUAUUUCUUUUAAAAAACUUUCCCCACAGAGGCUAUUUAUUACACAGCAGCAGCCAGCAUGCACCAAGCAGAACUGCUUUUCAUAAUAAACCUAUUUAUCUUCUGGCAUGUCAGAAAUUUCUCAAAUUGAUACUUAUAAUAAAUAUGAUUAAUAACACAUUGUA
rnacentral:lncRNA from 1 species